ensembl:lncRNA
GUUGUCACCAGGUGUCUCAGUACAUGCCAGCUGGUGAGCUAGUUGUUAGAAAAGAUAUGUGAGUGAGAAGCACCCCAUCUUCAAGGAGCUUACAGAGAGUGUGGGAGCCCAGGCGAGUGAAGGAGCCAUCACUUCAGUGUGGUCGGGAGGACAGCAAGGUUUUGAUCAUGAAGGACCUCUCCAAUCAGCUUCCUGCACCUCAGUCUCAGACCCUGGAGAUCCAACCCCAGACACCAAGUCAGGGUGGAGCUCAACAGCAAGGAUGCGCUGCCCUGAUCACUAAGUCACUCUGAUGAAAAACUGAUGCUUUUGAACUCGAAAAGACCCUGAUGUUGGGAAAGAUUGAAGGCAGGAGGAGAAGGGGACAACAGAGGAUGAGAUGGUUGGAUGGCAUCACUGACUCAAUGGAUGAGCGGGAGACUUGGAUACAAGCACAUGAGCACAGAGGAGGGGCCAUGGAGAUGUCUGUCACCAUCAGCAAGCAAGGAGAUCAACCUUGGAAGAAGCCAGGCCUGCUGACACCUUGACCUUGGACUUCUGGCCUUCAGAUCUGGUGAAAAAAAUAAAUUUUUGUUAUGUAAGUUCCUCAGUUUGUGGCAUUUAAGUUAG